rnacentral:lncRNA from 1 species
CGACCGCGCGAGAAACGCUCGGGGCACUUACUCCUGGGGGCGGAGGAGGCCCCGCGCCCUCCACUCCAAGGGCCUCGCAGGAGGAAGGUCUUCGUCCCACUGUUUAGGACUUGGCCUUACACAAGAGAAGCCUUGCUCGGGAGCCUUCCGAGGAUUUUAAAUCCUCCUGGGGCAGGGUUAGGCCUGGGGCUGGCUUCGAGGUCUCGGGUUUUGAGACGCCAGGGAGGAAUUCUCAGACUGAGGCCGCACGCUUUCCGAGCGCGCUUCCCGGCGUGUGCGCGUCGGUGAGGGGCUAUCUGCAGGCGCGAGUGCACAAAAGGUAGCGCGAGUCUCUUCCCAGGCGACUCGAGAUAAGAGGAAACGAGAGCGGGGUUUUCUGACUUCCAACUCAUUAGGGACCAGACCAGGCCUACAGGAGAGGAAAAAGCAGAAAACCCACCUGCCUCACUGCUUCUGUGCCAAGUCCAGGAAUGGUGUUUGCCCUGCUACACUUGUGAGCCAGCAACAAAGGAGGAGGCCAUCAGAAGUCAAGACUUUAAUAGUUACCUAGAGAGUCCACUGUUCACCUGUUUACCCUGGAUUUAGAACGAUUUCUUAUGUUUGCUGAUGUCUGAGAGGCGAUGGCUUAUUCCAUUUAUACCCAGGGCAGCCCACUCGGUCAUCCUCAAGCUUUUAGAAGGAAAACUGCCCAGUCAGCGGCAAUUUAGACUCAAGGGAACAACUCCAGGGAUGAAGUGCCACAGUCAAGCUGGUCAAAACAUCUUCUUUUCAUCCUUCUUCCCUGUGCUGGGAUACUAUAUGCUGCUGACUGUGUGAACAAGUGACAAGGACUGCCAGCCACAGAAACUCUGAAUCACAGGAAGAAAUACGCCAGCUGCAGCCCAGUUCCAACUUCUAAAAUGAAGGGAUAGGGAAGGCAAAGUGCUGGAUUCCGGAGAAGUACUGACAUCUUCUAUGCACAUCGGUGUGAGCUCAAUUUCAGGGCUCAGAAGGACUUCAGCAGACACUUUGAUACCCCCAGGGAAUCAGGCUGUGGGACAGGCUGUGACAGGCUGAGGAGGGCCUGGCUAACUUAGCAGGAAAAGUCGGGGAAGCAAGCUAUGGCAGAGCUUGGGGCCAGGCUGGUGGCAGCGUGUACACCAAUACAGUCUGUUUGUUUAAGUGGAAGGAAAAUUGAUGAACAAAGUCUGCACAGAAUAUUUAGGCAGUCAGAAAUCAAACAUUCAGAGAACCAAUCACACUGAGUUUAAUUGAGGUGGAUCUCACAGAGUCUCAGAGGCCCCUUGCCAAGCAGUAAGAAGAGACUGGGUAUUGAGGUCUUUGUCACUAGUCAUAAGAAAAUCUACUCUCCUAAAUAGAAAUGUGUUGGAUUUUUGGGUGCCUGGGUGGCUCAGUUAAGUGUCUGACUUCGGCUCAGGUCAUGAUGUCACAGCUUGUGGGUUAGAGCCCCGCAUUGGGCUCUGUGCUGACAGCUCAGAGCCUGGAGCCUGCUUUGGAUCCUGUGUCUCCCUUUCUCUCUAACCCUCCCCUGCUCAUGUUCUCUCUCUCAAAAAUAAAUAAACAUUAGAACAAAAAAGAAAU